rnacentral:tRNA from 1 species
AAAUUGUUAGCUUAAGUUAAAGUUUUAGACUUUUAAUCUAAAGAUGUAUAUUCACAAUUUA